rnacentral:snoRNA from 1 species
UUAUGAAGGAAGCAUGGUAAUGUGCACAGAGAAUGAAGAUUAAGGUCGGCAUGUCUGCUCUCUCUGAUUCUAUAUGAUUUGGGGGCCUGGUUUAGACCUACAAUU